GAGGUGGGAGGAUUGCUUGAACCUGGGAGGUUGAGGCUGCAGUAAGCUGUGGUCAUACCACUGCACUCCAGCCUGGGUAACAGAGAAAGAUCCUGUCUCA
rnacentral:miRNA from 1 species